rnacentral:rRNA from 1 species
CUUAAGGAAAUCGGCAAAUUGACCCCGUAAGCUUGCGAUAAGGGGUCCCUCCAGAUGCUUCUAGUUUACUAUUGGCAUGCUGAGGGCGCAGUGAAGUGGCUCUGGCGACUGUUUACCAAAAACACAGUUCUCUGCUAACACUUAAAGAGGAUGUAUAGAGAAUGACGCCUGCUCGGUGCCGGAAUGUUAAGGAAGUAGGUUAUCCUUUCGGGGAGAAGCUUACGACUGAAGCACCGGUAAACGGCGGCCCUAACUAUGAGGGUCCUAAGGUAGCGAAGUUCCUUGUCGGGUAAGUUCCGACGCGCAUGAAUGGCGUAACGACUGGUGCACUGUCUCAAGGACGGACUCGGUGAAAUUGGAUUUGUGGUGAAGAUACCACAUACCCGCGGCAAGACGGAAAGACCCCGUGAACCUUUACUGUAGCCUGGUAUUGGCCGCAGAUAUCACAUGCGUAGGAUAGGUGGGAGGCGAUGAAGCGGCUGUUCUGGCAGUCGUGGAGCCAUCCUUGAAAUACCACCCUUGUGCUGUUUGUUGCCUAACUCCGAUACCCGUGAAGCCGGGCGGAGAACAGUGUUAGGUGGGCAGUUUGACUGGGGCGGUCUCCUCCAAAAGAGUAACGGAGGAGUGCAAAGGUCGGCUCAGCGCGGUUGGCAAUCGCGUUUCGAGUGUAAAGGCACAAGCCGGCUUAACUGCGAGACUUACCAGUCGAGCAGAUACGAAAGUAGGCCUUAGUGAUCCGGUAGUUCCGUGUGGAAGGGCUAUCGCUCAACGGAUAAAAGGUACUCCGGGGAUAACAGGCUGAUCGCCUCCGAGCGUCCAUAGCGGCGAGGCGGUUUGGCACCUCGAUGUCGGCCCAUCGCAUCCUGGGGCUGUAGGCGGUCCCAAGGGUUUGGCUGUUCGCCAAUGAAAGCGGUACGCGAGCUGGGUUCAGACCGGCGCGAGCCAGGUCGGUCCCUAUCUGCUGUGGGCGCAGCAACCUUGAGAGGAUUCUUCCUUAGUACGAGAGGAUUAGGAAGGACACACCCCUGGUGUGCCAGCUGUCCCGCUCGGGGCACCGCUGGGUAGCUAAGCACGGAAAGGAUAACCGCUGAAUGCAUCUAAGCGGGAAGCCUUCCUCGAGAUUAGGUUUCGAUGGACUUCGGUCCUGAAGGCCCCUGGAAGACUACCAGGUCGAUAGGCAGGAGGUGUAAGCAUAGAGAUAUGUUUAGCUGACCUGGACAA